rnacentral:rRNA from 1 species
GACGUAGGGGGCAAGCGUUGUCCGGAAUUAUUGGGCGUAAAGCGCGCGCAGGCGGCCUCUUAAGUCUGAUGUGAAAGCCCCCGGCUCAACCGGGGAGGGCCAUUGGAAACUGGGAGGCUUGAGUAUAGGAGAGAAGAGUGGAAUUCCACGUGUAGCGGUGAAAUGCGCAGAUAUCGGGAAGAACACCCGUGGCGAAGGCGGCUACUCGUGGGACGGUACUGGACGCUGAGACGCGGAAAGCGUGGGGAGCGAACAGG